GACGAUAGAAGGCCAUCUUUGCUAGCCUAUUUAUCCCAUAUUUGUUCUAUAUAUUUAUAUGAUCCUAGUUCACCCCCUUUGAGCCUAAUUUUUCCAUAUUCUUUGUCGUAGCCAUGGGUGGGAGCUUGGAGAUUGUUGAUAUGAGAUAAUUGGGUUGUGGAGAUGAGUGAUCAUGAAUUGUGAAUUCGGUUUUUGAAUGGAAAAGUCCUAGUACCAUACUUUGAAAAAGAAAAGAAAAGAAAAAAGAAAGAAAGAAAAAAGAAGAACAAAUGAAAAGAAAAAAAGAGGUACAUAGGAUGCAUUAGAGAGACAUAAUGUCAUGAGAAAUAAUUGUUGAGUUGUAAUGGUUCUUGUAUUGAAAAAAAUUGGUUUUGUGAGAGGUGGAGAAUUGAAUUGAUUAAGGAUGCUAUAAGGUUGGUGAUUGAGCUACAUUGAGACGUAUCUUUUAGUCACUUAGCCAA
rnacentral:lncRNA from 1 species